AUGUUUAUUAAGAGAUCAAGCAGGGCAAGUAUAGUACAACCAUCUUACUUGCAUACAUGUCAAAAAUUCAUCCAUCAUAUCAUCCUAAAAUUUUGCGACGCAAACGUCUUGUUUACAACAAAGACGAUGAUGAUCGUGAAUAUAAUAAUAAUAAUCGUCUUCCUCCUCUUCCUCCUCCUCGUCUAGCUCGUGUAAUAACAAGUAAAUCACAUGUUAAUUUCCCAUCUAUCUUCACGGUUUGGAAGAAAUCGAGUAUGAGUUUCCAAGGUACGGAUGGAUUCACGGUGUUCGAUAAGCAAGGGAGGUUAGUUUUUCGGGUUGACAACUAUACCCGAAGGAAGAAUCGGGCCAUUGCUAGCCGGGGCAGCCGAUCCGGUGGACUAGUACUCAUGGACGCACAGGGUAAACCUCUCUUAACAUUGAGACCACAGAUGAACGCGCAAUUACAAUAUGAAUGGAAUGGAUAUAGCGGAGGAGAAGAUGACGAUGGAUCCACUCCUUUAUUCGUAAUGAGAAGACCUCCAUCAUCUUUGUUCGCGAUGAUGGGAGCAAGCAUGACGACUACGUCAUGCCAAGCUCAAGUAUUUGUUGCGGGAGAGACUAAUAAUAAUGUCAUGGACAUGAAAAAGAGGCAGAGGAAACCAAAUUACAGAGUGGAGGGUUCUUUUCGUAGGCGAAAUUGCAACAUCACAAAUUCAGAUGGUCAUAUUGUAGCAAAUAUAUCGCGAAAAAUAGCUAACGCUACUACUCACACCACUAUUUUGAUUAGCGACGAUGUUUUUAGCUUGAUGGUACAACCAGGGUUUGAACCUCAUAUUUUUAUGGCUUUUGUUAUUAUUUUGGAUCGUAUGUAUCCUAACUCAUACACUCCCCUUAUUUGUUCUGAAUGUAAUUGAUUUUUAUCUCUAAAUUAUCGAAUUCAAUUUGUUGA